rnacentral:rRNA from 1 species
UACGGGGGGAGCAAGCGUUGUUCGGAUUUACUGGGCGUAAAGGGCGCGUAGGCGGCCACCGCAAGUCAGUUGUGAAAUCUCUGGGCUUAACCCAGAACGGUCAGCUGAUACUGCGGGGCUAGAGUGCAGAAGGGGCAACUGGAAUUCUCGGUGUAGCGGUGAAAUGCGUAGAUAUCGAGAGGAACACCUGCGGCGAAGGCGGGGUUGCUGGGCUGACACUGACGCUGACAGCGCGAAAGCUAGGGGAGCGAACGGG